CAGAUCCAGGAGUCCUCUGUUUAUCCACAACAGGUACAGGACAGGCAGCAGCUGUGCGAUCUUUCCCCACAUUGCCAUGCCACUGUGCCUUAGCUGUGACCUAGAGAGGAACCACUACAAUGGAGAAGAGGCUGCUUUAUACUCUACCUUUUCACCUCU
rnacentral:sRNA from 1 species